CCUCUUUUUAAAAAGGGGGACCGGAGGGUGUGUUCCAACUACAGAGGGAUCACACUCCUCAGCCUCCCUGGUAAGGUCUAUUCAGGGGUGCUGGAGAGGAGGGUCCGUCAGGAAGUCGAGCCUCAGAUUGAGGAGGAGCAGUGUGGUUUUCGUCCCGGCCGUGGAACAGUGGACCAGCUCUACACCCUUAGCAGGGUUCUCGAGGGUAUGUGGGAAUUCGCCCAACCAGUCUACAUGUGUUUUGUGGACUUGGAGAAGGCGUUUGACCGUGUCCCUCGGGGAGUUCUGUGGGGGGUGCUUCGUGGGUAUGGAGUACCGAACCCCCUGAUACGGGCUGUUCGGUCACUAUACCACCGAUGUCAGAAGUUUGUUUCGCAUUGCCGGCAGUAAGUCGGAAUUGUUUCCAGUGGGGAUAGGACUCCGCCAAGGCUGCCCUUUUUCGCCGAUUCUGUUCAUAACCUUUAUGGACAGAAUUUCUAGGCGCAGCCGAAGCGUUGAGGGGGUCCGUUUUGGUGGCCUCAGUAUUGCAUCCCUGCUUUUUGCAGAUGAUGUGGUGCUGUUGGCUCCUUCAAACAGGGCUCUCCAACUCUCACUGGAGCGUUUCGCAGCCGAGUGUGAAGCGGUUGGGAUGAAAAUCAGCACCUCCAAAUCUGAAACCAUGGUCCUCAGUUGGAAAAGGGUGGAGUG